UCCGGCCUCUUCUGUCCCUCAGGAUAUUGUGAGUGACUGCUGUGAGGGGUGACAUUGCUAACCACUUGACAUUUCCCUGACAAAAAUAUUUAUUCUUCAGGGAAUAAAAAUAAUUUAAAGUUCAACUCUAUAUACAUGUACCAAAUUGCAUCUCAGCUGGUAGCAGAGAGCAGAAGGGGAAAAACCCUGAAUUUGAGAUCUUGUACAGAGACCCUUUUGAUGAGAUCUCUGAUCACAAAUCAAGGAAAAUUCUUGAAUGAAUGAAUUAAAGUUUUGAAGAUUGGAGCCCAUGAAAUGAGAGGAAAUGAGAGAUUCACAGCUGAGAAACAAGCAACAGCCAGAUUAACCAUAGCACUGAAGAUAACUCUCCUUGGUUGCCAUGGUGAGAACAGAAAAUGUGCCAGGAUGGAUUGGAGGUUGUAAAUAACUCCAGAGGUGCAGACAGAUGCCAAGAAGGAGUCUCACUAUACUUGCAAAAGCCAUGCUACAUAUUCUUUUCAUCUCUUGGGCAUUUUCUUUUGUCAUUGUAUGGCUUAUUUCAGGAAAAGCAAUGUGAAUAAAAUGUUUCCAAACUUCCAAA